UACGAAGGGUGCAAACGUUGCUCGGAAUUAUUGGGCGUAAAGAGCUCGUAGGCGGCUUGUCACGUCGAUUGUGAAAGCCCGAGGCUUAACCUCGGGUCUGCAGUCGAUACGGGCUAGCUAGAGUGUGGUAGGGGAGAUCGGAAUUCCUGGUGUAGCGGUGAAAUGCGUAGAUAUCGAGAGGAACCCCUGCGGCGAAGGCGGGUUGCUGGGCUGACACUGACGCUGAUGCGCGAAAGCUAGGGGAGCGAACGGG
rnacentral:rRNA from 1 species